CCUACGGGGGGCUGCAGUCGAGAAUUUUUCUCAAUGGGGGAAACCCUGAAGGAGCGACGCCGCGUGGAGGAUGAAGGUCUUCGGAUUGUAAACUCCUGUCAUUGGUGAACAAGGUUCUGCCGUUAACUGCGGCGGGAUUUGAUAGUAGCCGAAGAGGAAGAGACGGCUAACUCUGUGCCAGCAGCCGCGGUAAUACAGAGGUCUCAAGCGUUGUUCGGAUUCAUUGGGCGUAAAGGGUGCGUAGGCGGCGGGAAAAGUCUGAUGUGAAAUCCCGG
rnacentral:rRNA from 1 species